GUCGGGAUCAGGUUGAGCGAGAAGAAGGUUGGCGGGUUUCCUGAUCAAAGUGAAAGAUACAGGAAAGAAAAAUGUGGAAAUCAGGAACUAAAAACUGUUUUAAGAAAAUGAAUUUGUGCAUCUCUGUUGUGGUUGCUGUCUAUUUAAAUGCUCUAGCAGGAACACACACACACACACACACACACAGAGCUCCAGUUUAUUCUCCAGUACAACCCAGCUCUGGGAAUGACAAACUAUGACAUCACAAUUGUUGAAACAUUCAUUUUUAGACAAUAGAGCUCUGUGAUUACAAGACAUUGGGAGUGACCUUCCUUACACAGAGGGCUCUCUCUCUGUCUCUCUUUCUGUGUUUCUCUCUCUCACUCCCUGGAAUGCAGGGAUGGAGGUGGAGUAGGAGGAAAAUUGGAGAUGUUUCUCUCAAGCUCUCAUACAAAGCUCUUUGAGCUUCCUCCCAAGAAAGGCCGAUACAUCUCCUCCUUCAAAUGUCUACUAGCUAUGACAACAGCCUGAAGUUUCCUCUCACCUCCUAAAGCCUGCCGGAGGGUGGAUAUGC